rnacentral:rRNA from 1 species
UUAGAGAGCUUGCUUUUUAAGCUUAGUGGCGAACGGGUGAGUAACGCGUGAGUAACCUGCCCUAGAGUGGGGGACAACAGUUGGAAACGACUGCUAAUACCGCAUAAGCCCACGGUACCGCAUGGUACUGAGGGAAAAGGAUUUAUUCGCUUUAGGAUGGACUCGCGUCCAAUUAGCUAGUUGGUGAGGUAACGGCCCACCAAGGCGACGAUUGGUAGCCGGACUGAGAGGUUGAACGGCCACAUUGGGACUGAGACACGGCCCAGACUCCUACGGGAGGCAGCAGUGGGGGAUAUUGCACAAUGGGGGAAACCCUGAUGCAGCGACGCCGCGUGGAGGAAGAAGGUUUUCGGAUUGUAAACUCCUGUC